GAUGAACGCUGGCGGCGUGCCUAAUACAUGCAAGUCGAACGAAGAAUGUAGCAAUACUUUCUUAGUGGCGAACGGGUGAGUAACGCGUUGGUGACCUGCCCCGAAGAGGGGGAUAACAGUUCGAAAGAGCUGCUAAUACCCCAUGUGAUCUCUAGGAUUAGAUGCCUGUUGAUGAAAAGGGAUUUAUCUCGCUUCGGGAGGGACCUGCGUCCCAUCAGCUAGUUGGUAGGGUAAUGGCCUACCAAGGCGAUGACGGGUAGGGGACCUGAGAGGGUGACCCCCCACACUGACACUGAAACACGGGUCAGACACCUACGGGUGGCUG
rnacentral:rRNA from 1 species